GCGCGAAACCUCUGCAAUGCGGGAAACCGUGACAGGGGGAUCCCAAGUGCUCAUGCAUUGCAUGGGCUGUUCUUUGGUCUAAGUAACCAGAGGAGUAAGGGCUGGGCAAGACCGGUGCCAGCCGCCGCGGUAAUACCGGCAGCUCAAGUGGUAGCCGCGAUUAUUGGGCCUAAAGCGUUCGUAGCCGGAUAAGUAAGUCUUUGGUUAAAUCCUGCGACUUAACCGUGGGAAAUCUAGAGAUACUGCUUGUCUUGAGACCGGGAGAGGUUGGAGGUACUCCCAGGGUAGGGGUGAAAUCCUGUAAUCCUGGGGGGACCACCUGUGGCGAAGGCGUCCAACUGGAACGGGUCUGACGGUGAGGGACGAAACCUAGGGGAGCGAGCC
rnacentral:rRNA from 1 species